rnacentral:ncRNA from 1 species
AAGUUCUUUCCCGAUGUUGUGGGCAGGAGGAAGGCAACGUGGAUAGAGCCGGAUUAUCAGACCUCGCAGAUCCUCACGGGACACGGGAUCUUCAAUAAGCGGUUGCCGGAUAUGCGACUGAGGGAGGGGCAUGCUUGCGACUGCGGGGCGGUUGAGGAGGACAGGGACCAUGUCCUGUGGGAGUGCCCUCUAUACGACGAAAUCCGGGGCAGGAUGCUCGAUGGAAUCUCGCGGUCUGAGGUGGGCCCAGUUUACCACGCGGACCUGGUCAGGGACGAGCAUAACUUUCGGCUCUUGCUCGAGUUCGCGCAUGCAUGGCACACGGCGCGCACUGCGCGCGAAUCACGAGGACUGCCUGGCGACGAAGAAUGUGGGUGAUGUUAGCAGCCCCAGAACGGGGAGAAUGCUAGUGGAGUGAAGGGGACGGUGUUAGUUUGUAGAACCGAUCGGUACCUUGGUGCCGUGAAGUUCAUGCUUCGGUCCUAAUAACCGCAAGGUUGGUGGGACCAUGGGAGGUGGUGGGAAUGUCUCUAUCUACUAUCUAGCGAAACCACAGCCAAGGGACGGGCUUGGGAGAUCAGCGGGGAAGAGACCCUGUUGAGCUUGACUCUAGUCUGGCAUUGUAAG